GGAAAUGUAGCUAAGUGGUGGAGUGCUUGUCUAGCAUGCAUGAGGCCCUGGGCUUAAUUCCUAGCACUGCCA
rnacentral:tRNA from 1 species